AACCUCUCCGGUGGCCUAAAGGUUAGAGCAUCCGCCUCUGACGUGGGAGGUCAUGGGUUCGAACCCCGGCUGAGUCA